rnacentral:rRNA from 1 species
GGUAACUAGAGGCCAGCAGUGGGGGUAAUGCGUAGGGGGGAAGGGUUGUGCGGAGUCAUUGGGCGGAAAGAGCGUGUAGGCGGCCUGGAAGGUCAGCUGUGAAAACUCGAGGCUCAACCUCGAGACGGCGGUUGAAACCACCUGGCUAGAGUCCGGAAGAGGAGUGUGGAAUUCCCGGUGUAGCGGUGAAAUGCGCAGAUAUCGGGAAGAACACCCGUGGCGAAGGCGGCACUCUGGGACGGUACUGACGCUGAGACGCGAAAGCGUGGGGAGCGAACAGGAUUAGAUACCCGUGUAGUC